rnacentral:lncRNA from 1 species
CAUUUCCACAAACUGAAGUAAAUAAAAAAGCUUACAAGAUUCUCUACAAUAUUUCCUUAGCAGGUCAAUGAACUUCUUGCAUCAUUUCAGAUGCUUUGCGGAGCUAAUCAAAGUUUAAUAUUAAGUCAGAAGCGAUCUUGAUUACCCACCAACUAGAAUCACAAUUCCAAGCUACCGUCUUAUUUGGAGAAGGUACACCAGAUUCUGCUAACUCCUACUCUAUUGUGACAGUUUUUUUUUCCGGCACCUACUUUCAGGACCUGCUUCCCUGGGCCCAACCCCUUUUCAAUCCUCACAAAAAAAAAUGAACGCAAAAUAAAGCCUGUAUUUCUCCAAUCAAUUACAUUGACCAUAAAACUAAUCCAGCAAACCAGCACGGAUGCGAAACAAUUAUUCAUUCAUCCAAUGGAUAAAAUGCAAAAUGAGAAAUGGGCAAAAGUCAAAUCUUGAGCAAAUAAAACGAAAUGUGAUACUCCUAAUACAAGAAUCAAACCUUCAAAAUAUCUCGAUGUUCUUGAAGAAUCUUUGCAGCACCAAGAAGCAUUGCAACAUGAGCAUCAUGGCCACAUGCAUGCAUUUUUCCAGCAUUUUUACUUUUGUGCUCCCAGUCCACCAUUUCCUGUUAAAAUUAAGAUGUAUUAACUAAGAGUUUAAUCUCUAUGCACUGACGAUGUAAAAGAUAUAUACACAAUCAAGUCAUUUAUUAGGUAAUUAUAAGUAAAUCUCUCGAUAAACAUUAAUCAGUAGUCUGGUAACAAAUGGUAAGUGACUGCUAUCAUAGGUUAAAAUUCAUUGAUAUAAAAAAAAUCUUUACAAUGUCGGGUUAUAUAGCUUAAAUCCAUUUCUACUUAUUGCUUUUGCCAAAAUUGAAGACGGGAAAAUCUCUCCUUGCUUAAAUUCAUAUUCCACAUUGAUAGAAGGUCCGGAGGUCAAGCAUCAAGAUUGUAGGAGAGGGGGUAGUAGAGCUUUUCCUACUUCAUACCCUGGGUGAGGCGGGGUUGGAUAGGGUUGAUCUUAGAUGGCUUGUGGUUUAUGUUGAGUGAUGAUAGGCUAUAAUUACGUAUUUUAGUCGAUUAUUACACACUAAUUUACUGCACUUUAGUUGAGUUUGCGCUUUAAUCGCUAGUGUUUUGCACUAAUGGUGUGUUCUAUGCCUUGUAGGAGUGAUUCCAAAUAUAGAUGAUAUAGAAUGAAUUUAAGUGAUUUGACGCUUUGAAGUCUGAGUAAAAGCUCAAGGAAUUAAGCAGGGAUCGCGUUGGGGGAUCAAAUUUGAUAAUUAAGUACGAACGAAGACUCGAUGAGGCAUAUUGAUCACUGUCUAGUAAAAUAGACAUAACUUUUUGCUCAGAACUUCAUUUGGGCUCCAUAAUAUAUGGUUGGAAAGUUAACUAAAGAGCUACAACUUUCAUGUUUUGCGUUUUUCCAAAUUCCAAAGGGAACAGGGUGAAAAAUCGCGAUUUUGGCGUAACCGCGGUAGAACCGCGGCAGAGGGCAGUCGCGGACAACUGAAGAAUCAUAGGGCAUGUUUGGCCGCGGUUCCACCGCGACAGCAGCAGAACCGUGGCAGGAGGCGUAAAUUUCAGGGACAUGUGCAAAACACGGGAUUUUAAGCCCUAAACCCUAUAUUAAACUAAGGAAGCCGACCAAGAAAAGAGAGAGGAUAGUUUUGAGACAUAGAUUCGACCUAAGGAGGCAAGAACGCAUUUGGAGCAAGGCGGAGAAAUCUUCCACGAGUUUUUCCUUCCUCUUCCUAUUUUUCAUUGUUAGUUAUGACUUUUAAUAUUUUAGUUUUACAUACUAUUAUGAAUAGCUAACUUGUUAUCUAGAGUUUUGAUAGAACCUUUUGUAGGAUAAAUUCUUGUUAUGUUUUUCUGUAAUUAAGCCAUAAUUUUUCUCUAUUUGUUCAACUACGUUUAUAUUUUGGUUGAUUGAAGAGCUCUCAAUUAGCUGUGCCUAUUUAGUAUGUAUAACUCGGGAGAGAGUGCAUAUUUAGGUAAUUGUUGAACAACACCACUCUCAGAGUAUAUAAGGGAUCAAUAACCGAGGAUUUAAAGGCGAGAUUAGGGAUAACGAAGUCUUGGGUGCGAUCUGAAGUGAGCUGUAUUAAAAGAAACCAGCUAGCGUAACUCGGGGGAGUGCAUCUAGUAAAUUAUCGUGAUUACUUGGGAGAUAUUUACCGUAAUAAGAGUGUUCAUGAUUGAUAGAGAUGAUUCUAUGUGCAACCUAACCGGAAGGGAUUCCAUCAAUAAGGAAAAUCAUAACCUUAGAUCCUUCUCUUAAUUAUUUAAAAUUUAAUCACACAUAGGGGGAAGGAUUUCGAUAAUGGGGAAAUCAUAACUCUAGACCUCCUUAAUCUUGUCUCUAAUUCUUAGUAUCUUUAGUUGUUAAUUUAUUAUUUUAAUUUGUUAAUUAAAUAGUUAAACACAAGAAUCUUAAUAUCUAUAAGUUAGGAACUGUUCAAGGUUGUCUUCUUGGUGAUAGUGAAUAGUUGUAGCUAAGCUUUAGUUCUCUGUGGGAUUCGACUCUGGACUUGUAAACCGGAUUAUAUUUGCAUUGAUCGCAUUAUCCUUUUAUAAGGCAUAGGGCGUGAUCAAAAUUUGGCGCCGUUGCCGGGGAAAUAACGGUGUAGCUGUAGGUGUACAUAUUACUAGGUUUCAAGUUUGAACUUUUAUUUUUAUUUUNNNNNNNNNNNNNNNNNNNNNNNNNNNNNNNNNNNNNNNNNNNNNNNNNNNNNNNNNNNNNNNNNNNNNNNNNNNNNNNNNUUUGAGAAUUGUUGAUUUUAAAAAAAAAUGGCAUCAUGGAAUUAUGAAAGUUUUGAUGUUGGUAAUUCUACUUUUAAUCCUCUUUAUGCAUACUGUGAUGAAAACCACCCUUGGCAAAAUUAUGAAAAUUAUCCCGAGAGCGAGUUUUGUGCACCAACUCAAUCUUAUGUGUGGAAUGUGUGUGAUAUAUGUGGUGGUCAAUAUGGUCA